AGGACGAACGCUGGCGGCGUGCUUAACACAUGCAAGUCGAACGGUGACGAGCAGCUUGCUGCUCUGAUCAGUGGCGAACGGGUGAGUAACACGUGAGCAACCUACCCUUGACUCCGGGAUAACAGCUGGAAACAGCUGCUAAUACCGGAUACGACCUCGACCGACAUCAGUUGAGGUGGAAAGUUCUGGCGGUCAAGGAUGGGCUCGCGGCCUAUCAGCUAGUUGGUGAGGUAACGGCUCACCAAGGCUUCGACGGGUAGCCGGCCUGAGAGGGCGACCGGCCACACUGGGACUGAGAUACGGCCCAGACUCCUACGGGAGGCAGCAGUGGGGAAUAUUGCACAAUGGGCGAAAGCCUGAUGCAAGCAACGCCGCGUGCGGGAUGACGGCCUUCGGGUUGUAAACCGCUUUCAGUUCCGACGAAGCGCAAGUGACGGUAGGAGCAGAAGAAGGACCGGCCAACUACGUGCCAGCCGCAGC
rnacentral:rRNA from 1 species